UUAAGGUGUUAUUAGUUGUGUACACAGGGCUGAGCCGUCAGCCUCAGCAAGCUGCUUUUUGCACCCAACCGGGAACUCCAGUGUGAGCCGGAGACAAAAUCAAGCGCUCCUUUAUGACUGCUACACACCUGCAACUACGGAGGGAAAUUAGACCUUCAUGCUACCACUUGAGGAAGGAGAACCAACAUAGCUGUACAGAAAAUGGACCAAAAGCCUCACUCUCGUCGUCUCGUGAUAGUCAGAGCACAACCUGAUAGAUGUGAGGCUCGUUAUAAGGCGGCCUGUGUAAAGACAGCAAUUGAAGAAAAGGAGUGGACGUCUUCUCUGCAUCAAAAAGGUUUAAUGCAAUCACAACAGUCAUCCAGCGAGAGUGACGAUUCCUUCAUCCUUGGUCCAACACCAGCUGCAGUAAUCCAGGACACGAGCGUGCCAG